rnacentral:tRNA from 1 species
UAGGCUGAAGUCCGCUGGCUUGGACGUCUGGUUGUUAACUAGAAUUUUACGGGAUCAAAGCCCGUUAGCCUAGU